rnacentral:lncRNA from 1 species
AAUUAAUAAACAGAGUAAGCACAUGAUUAUUUGAACAAUCUGUUUACACAUGAUAAAUGAGACAUUGAAAGUUCUGUUUUCUUUCCCAAAGCAACAGUGUUCUUUUUGUAUAGAAAAGCAGACAAUGAGAAUUUACGUCUGCAUUUGCCUGAAUUUAAAAUAACUUUUCGAUAACCCAUACGCGCUCAUGUUUCUGUAUAAUAUGAAAGUAAGAAAAAUAGUUAACUUAUUUUUAGUGAAUAAAUGAUAGCUAAAAUGUCGAAUUUAAAUCGUAAAUGUGAUGGUUGUGGACAGUUUCUGAAUAAAACACCAGGUUUCGAAAAACCAAUGAAAACAAUUGAAGAUUGUAUGUUAUUUUCCAUAUCAAUUGGAUCAAAACUAUCCAUUGGAGAUAUUAUUUGUGAAAAGUGUCGAAAAAUUCAUUGCCGUAAGAGACAGAUAAGUGAAUCUAUCGAUAGUGAACAAAAACAAAGCCUAGGUAAAGAAGAUGGCUGUCAAUUUCAGUGGUAAGUGCAAAUGAAGCCAAAUGCAUUACAAAUGCAGUUCCCUCACUCUCCCUUAUUACAUUUACUGUACUUUAUAUUAUUUAUGAUGUAUGACCUUUGCCAUCAAAACAAAAAGAUCCUGACUUCAUUGCACAAGUCCUACCCGCUUCUAGCAGUCCGGAUGAAGAAUACAUGGAAUUAUCUAUUCCAAGAGCAGUGUCAACACAUGCUUACUGCUGUGUUUGUGAUUAUAAAACUAAUCUAGUCAUUGUUCCAGAAGAAGCCAUAACGCAUGCAUAUGUUAAAUGUAAAAUGUACAUUCCAUAUGGAAAUCAGUGCUGUUGCGCACACAUAAUUAAACAUCAUUUUUAUGACAGUGACUUAAAUUCUAUUAGAAUUGUUUCAAACACAUCAUCACUUUGCAAAAGAGAACUGAAUAAACUAUUUCAGGCAAUGACAAUCAAAAGCGCGACACCCAUUUUUAAAAAAAUUCGAAAUCUCGAUGGAAAACAAAUACAGCUUCUUACUGGGUUAGACUUUGAAGAUAUCGAACAACUACGAAACAUGAUCUCUUCGAUGCGUGACAAUGAAC